UCCUGCGUGAUCUCUCCAGGGCCAGCUCGGCUAUUAUCCAAUGCUGGAAGUGCUUGAGUUGCCUUGGUUUACCCAAACACUCAUUCCCGAUUUCAGGGGGCCUCCCUACCCCGUCUGGAUUUAUCAGCUUUUCGAUGCGAAACCUCCUCUGGUCAGGAUCCCAAAAUCGGCCAGGGUCACUGUGGCCAAAUUUUUUGCGCUGGCUUUUACCUGGCGUUUGGUUCAAGCUAUUUUUUCCCCAUUUCCCACAAAUCUACACUUAUGGCCUGCACUGUACCACGAUCUAUUAGCUGGCAGUUGUCCUCGCCUCCGUGGAGUUCCACCAGCUACAGACUGAGGGUUGGUCGAGCUAGUAAUUUAUAAUUCAUCUACAUGGGACAUUUCCGACACAGAACUAAGGAAUUUUGACUCUUUUCACAGAAAACAGCUUC